AAGAGAGGAGGAGAGGGAAAAAGAGAGGAGGAGAGGGAAAAAGAGAGGAGGAGAGGGAAAAAGAGAGAGGAGAGGGAAAAAGAGAGGAGGAGAGGGAGAAAGUGAGGAGAGGAACGAAAAAGAGAGGAGGAGAGGGAAAAAGAGAGGAGGAGAGGGAAAAAGAGAGGAGGAGAGGGAAAAAGAGAGGAGGAGAGGGAAAAAGAGAGGAGAAGAGGGAAAAAGAGAGGAGGAGAGGGAAAAAGAAAGAGGAGAGGGAAAAAGAGAGAGGAGAGGGAAAAAGAAAGAGGAGAGGGAAAAAGAGAGGAGGAGAGGGAAAAAGAGAGGAGGAGAGGGAAAAAGAGAGAGGAGAGGGGUAUGAGAAGUAGAGGAGAAGGGUAGGGAAAAAAAGAGGGGAGGAGAGAGAAAAAGGGGAAGGGAGAUGAGAGGAGGGCGAGGACGGACAGAGAGGAGAAGAGGAGAGUCCCCUGGUCUGUCUGCUGCAGUGUAUUGUGGUUAUAGGCUGAUGAUAAAUGUGUCUGGGCAGGGCUGGAGUAAAGCAUCUGGACUCACACCAUGAGCAUAAAACCAGACGGAGGAAACCCUACAUUUUACAAAGGGAGGAAACUUAUAUUUUCAUUUGUAGAAGCUUUUUAGAAAUAUUGAUACACAUAGAGACAUAACAUUAAUACAAUCCUGAUUAAAAUGCAUUAUAAAGCCUCAUAUAUGUAUUUAAAAAGUUGAAGUACAGUGUUACCAAAAUGUCUUAGUUUUCUUAUGUUAGAGAUGAUGUAGGUGUUUCAUAGACAGCCGGUGUUUGGGAACUGACUAAAUAGGAAACUCUUGAGUGUUGAUCAAAACAAACAAACAAAGCUAUAAGCUGCCAACCCUAAAGUGUUGUAGUUAAUAUUUGGUGAUUUGAGAGUUCUUCACGCCUACUUAGAAUACGAGAGCCUCAGAUACAAGGCUUUCAUCACCUUGGAAACAAACUCCUGAAUGGGAGCUGUCAAUUUACUAAACGAGUUCAACUUUCAUCACGUUCUGUUAGCUGUUCUCCGCUAGCGUGAACACAUCUCCCCCUCUGUAGGGGGGAGCCUAAAAAUCAUCUCGAUAUUUUUUUUUCCCAAACUUAUGGGUGAUUCAUGGUAUGCACUACAUGACGAAAAGUAUGUGGACACCUGCUCAUCGAACAUCUCAUUCCAAUUUCAUGGUCCUACCUUUGCUUCUAUUCAGACUUCACUCUUCUGGGAAGACUUUCCACUAGAUGUUGGAACAUUGCCGCGGGGACUUGCUUCCAUUCAGGCACAAGAGCAUUAGUGAGGUUGGGUACUGAUGUUGGGCGAUUAGGCCUGGCUCACAGUCUGCGUUCCAAUUCAUCCCAAAGGUGUUCGAUUGGGUUUAGGUCAGGGCUCUGUGCAGGCCAGUCAAGGUCAAGGUCUUCCACAUCUAUCUUGACAAACCAUUUCUGUAUGGACCUCGAUUUGUGCAUGGGGGCAUUGUCAUGCUGAAACAGGAAAGGUCCUUCCCCAAACUGUUGCCACAAAGUUGGAAGCACAGAAUUGUCGAGAAUGUCAUUGUAUGCUGUAGCGUUAAGAUUUCUCUUCCCUGGAACUAAGGGGCCCAAACCAUGAAAAACAGCCCCAGACCAUUAUUCCUCCUCACUAUGCAUUCCUGGCAUCCCCCAAAUCCACAUUAAUCUGUCAGACUGCCAGAUAGUCAAGCGAAAUUCAUCACUCCAGAAAACGAGUUUCCACUGCUCCAGACCAAUGGCGAGCUUUACACGACUCCAACCGAUGCUUGGCAUUGUGCAUGGUGAUCUUAGGCAUGUGGGAGACUGCUCGGCCAUGGAAACACAUUUCAUGAUGCUCUUGAUGAACAGUUCUUGUACUGACGUUGCUUCCAGAGGCAGUUUAGAACUCGGUAAUGUGUGUUGCAACUGAGGACAGGCGUUUUUUACGUGUGAUGCGCUUCAGCACUCGGCGGUCCCAUCUGAGCCGUUGUUGCUCUUCGACGUUUCCACUUCACAAUAACAGCACUUACAGUUCACUGGGGCAGCUCUCAGAAAUUUGACGUACUGACUUGUUGGAAAGGUAGCAUCCUAUGAUGGUGCCACAUUGAAAGUGACUGAGCUCUAAAGGCCAUUCUCCUGCCGAUGUUUGUCUAUUGUCUCAUAAACAAUAAACAAAUACGUGGUAUUAUUAAACACAGACUAGACAGCUAGUAUAACAGUCUGCUAGAGGUACGUGGUAUUAUAAAACACAGACUAGACAGCUAGUAUAACAGUCUGCUAGAGGUACAUGGUAUUAUAAAACACAGCCUAGACAGCUAGUAUAACAGUCUGCUAGAGGUACGUGGUAUUAUAAAACACAGACUAGACAGCUAGUAUAACAGUCUGCUAGAGGUACGUGGUAUUAUAAAACACAGACUAGACAGCUAGUAUAACAGUCUGCUAGAGGUACGUGGUAUUAUAAAACACAGACUAGACAGCUAGUAUAACAGUCUGCUAGAGGUACGUGGUAUUAUAAAACACAGACUAGACAGCUAGUAUAACAGUCUGCUAGAGGUACGUGGUAUUAUAAAACACAGACUAGACAGCUAGUAUAACAGUCUGCUAGAGGUACGUGGUAUUAUAAAACACAGACUAGACAGCUAGUAUAACAGUCUGCUAGAGGUACGUGGUAUUAUAAAACACAGACUAGACAGCUAGUAUAACAGUCUGCUAGAGGUACGUGGUAUUAUAAAACACAGACUAGACAGCUAGUAUAACAGUCUGCUAGAGGUACGUGGUAUUAUAAAACACAGACUAGACAGCUAGUAUAACAGUCUGCUAGAGGUACGUGGUAUUAUAAAACACAGACUAGACAGCUAGUAUAACAGUCUGCUAGAGGUACGUGGUAUUAUAAAACACAGACUAGACAGCUAGUAUAACAGUCUGCUAGAGGUACGUGGUAUUAUUAAACACAGACUAGACAGCUAGUAUAACAGUCUGCUAGUGGUACGUGGUAUUAUAAAACACAGACUAGACAGCUAGUAUAACAGUCUGCUAGUGGUACGUGGUAUUA